CUCUGCUGCCUUCCAAUAUCAUGGACAAAUGUUUUAUAAACUUCCAGAGAAUCAACCUGAUUAGCUCUAUGUUCUUGUUAAGCUUGUCACCUCUUGCCUGCAUGUCACAUUCACGACUGGCGUAUUCUUCACAGCUUGCAGCUAAUUCAGUGAGCAGCAUGGAAAUAAGUUGUGCCUUCUCGGGCUGUACAAGAUAAAGCUUUGAUGCCCACUGCCACUAUGAGGGCAUGGCUGGAGAGAUUGAUCACAUCUCUGUUGCUGAUCUUGGUUGCAUUUACUCUUAAAGAUUGUGACUACCAGAAGCUCACCAGAAUAAUGAAAAGUUGUCUUUCCCCUGCCUGGAUACAGCAGAGUGAGUCCAUGGCUGGUAAGGAUACAGUAUCUUUAUGCAAAUGAGAAAGCAGACUUCUUUCUCCAGGUUUAUGAAUUUCAUCAGGAAGAGAAACAUGAAAAAAGUAAAAGCAGCUCCAGUAACCAAAGGCUGUCCUAUAAGAAGGUAACAGAUACAAGACGGAAGAGACACAGAUUGCACAGGGGCACACAGAACAGGUCAUAGCAAAUCUUCCUGUUAAAAGAGAAAUACCUUAUCGGACUGGAGGUGAUGUCGGGGUCACGAGCGGUCACCUGCCCAAUCACGGAGUUGAGAGCAGCGUUUUCAUGCACUUCCAGGAGGGUCAUCAAGGAGGACAAAGGAGAUGACAUCUAUAGCAGACUUCUUCUUCGCUGAGGAAAACCGUAUGUAAUUAUGCCCCUAAUUAAUGUAUUUUACAAGAGUUAUUUCCUGUUUGUGAAUCUAAAUUCAAUUUUAAGCCAUGACCUAUUUAUGUAUAGAUGUACUUUUUCUCACUUUUAAAUGCAUGAGGAUUUUUCUUUGAAUUAAAAAAAAAAGUGAGGAGAGGCUCUAAAUUUUUAAUUUAAUUAAUAAUUGACUUAAUGGUAAGACAUGAAAAUUCAUCUCAAUACUGCUGAAAACUCAUGAAUCAAAGUAACAAAUGUAUAUGUGCCCACAUAUUGAAUUUUUCUAUUUGGAAGUCUGCAGACAAAAUCACCAGAUACAGGAAAAAACUAUACCCAAAAGAUGGUGCUAUUUUAAGUAAUUUUAAAAUAUGCUAUAAAAGUCAUGAUUAUAAAAAGUCUGACACAGUGUCUUUACUCUCUUGCUACACUGUUAAAAUUAAACAAUAAAAGAUAUAUCUUCAUUUAUAAAAACUGUUAUUUUAUGAAGUUAUCUGCCAAAUCAUUAAAAAUAGAUUUUCUAGUUUGCCUGCUUUAUUUUUUUAAAUAACUUAUUUCCUGUUUGCUAAAAUCUAUACCAUUGAACCCAGGAUACUGGCUGCAUUUAAUAUUGGCAAAAAUGAUAAUAUUUUCAUGAGAGUUCUAGUACACAGAUAUCAGAAUCCUGUUUAACAAAUGAGGAAUCUAGUAACAAAUAUAAUAAUAUCCAUGCAUGAAAUGACUACCACAUGCCAUGUACUGUGUGCUGAAUAUUUAUUGGUUCAUCUGAUCUUCAUAAGGCUAUGAGGAAGGUUCCACUCCACUUCAUAGAUGUGUGAGUUGAAACUUAGAAAUCUUUAUAAAUGUUACUUGCCAAGCAUUUUGCAGCCAAUAAGUAAUUGUAUUUAUUCUUAAAUCUGAUAUCUAAGUCGGCCUGAGGUAUAAGCACACUUUUUUCCCAGGGAUGAACAACGGUGCCAGGCCAUCUGUUAAACAGGUGAUAUUCUACAAAGGAUCUGCAAUUCAUUUUAAUAUGUAUCAAAAUGAUUGUCAGGCUUGCCAUGUAUCUGGCACUGCACAGGAAUAACACAUUCAAAUGUUACUGAUAGGCAGUGAAGUUCCUUAACCAGAGCAUUUCAUAAUCCACAUUCCAAGAAAAGUGUAUCCCUGAAGCAAUGACAUAGUAAAUAGAAUUCAAAAUUUA